rnacentral:rRNA from 1 species
GACGAACGCUGGCGGCGUGCCUAAUACAUGCAAGUAGGACGCAGUUGCGAACGGGUGAGUAACGCGUAGGUAACUACCUAUUAGAGGGGGAUAACUAUUGGAAACGAUAGCUAAUACCGCAUACUAGUAGAUGGACCUGCGUUGUAUUAGCUUGUAGGUAGGGUAAUGGCCUACCUAGGCAACGAUACAUAACCGAGCUGAGGGGGGGGUCGGCCAAACUGGGACUGGGACACGGCCCAGACUGCUACGGGAAGCAGCAAGAGGGAAUCUUCGGCAAUGGGGGGAAACCUGACCGCGCAACGCCGCGGGAGUGAAGAAGGUUUUCGGAUCGGAAAGCUCUGUUGUUAAGGAAGCGGUACUUAACCAAAAAGGGCCGGCUAACUACGUGCCAGCAGCCGCGGUAAUAC